rnacentral:rRNA from 1 species
UACGUAGGGGGCAAGCGUUGUCCGGAUCCAUUGGGCGUAAAGAGCGUGUAGGCGGCCAGGUAGGUCGGUUGUGAAAACUGGAGGCUCAACCUUCAGAGGUCGACCGAAACCAUCUGGCUAGAGUCCGGGAGAGGAGAGUGGAAUUCCUGGUGUAGCGGUGAAAUGCGCAGAUAUCAGGAAGAACACCCGUGGCGAAGGCGGCUCUCUGGGACGGUACUGACGCUGAGACGCGAAAGCGUGGGGAGCGAACAGG